CUGCUCACUUUGGCAGCACAUAUACUAAAAUUGGAAGGAUACAGAGAUUAGCAUGGCCCCUGCACAAGGAUGACACACAAAUUUGUGGCGCGUUCUAUUAAUUU
rnacentral:snRNA from 1 species